rnacentral:rRNA from 1 species
UACGUAGGGGGCAAGCGUUGUCCGGAUUUAUUGGGCGUAAAGAGCGUGUAGGCGGUUUGGUAGGUCCGCUGUGAAAACUCGAGGCUCAACCUCGAGACGCCGGUGGAAACCAUCAGGCUAGAGUCCGGAAGAGGAGAGUGGAAUUCCUGGUGUAGCGGUGAGAUGCGCAGAUAUCAGGAAGAACACCCGUGGCUAAGGCGGCUCUCUAGUACGGUACUGACGCUGAGACGCGAAAGCGUGGGGAGCGAACAGG